CAAGUAUAUGAAUGUGCAAAAUGCCUAAGUUUUUCUUACGUAAUGUCAUGUAACACGUGCUCCAUAAAACAGCACGGCGGAAAGCAUUUCAAAGACACAUCGUGCGAACCUGAUCGAUCCAAGAAUUUGAUAUUAUUCCUUGAUUAUAAAGUGCGCGCGCACUUUCUUCAUGUAAUAUUGAGUAGUCUGGAAAUGUUAAUCCUUGGCUUGUAAAUUUUACAUGCGCCAUUCUCUCACACAGAAGUCGUGGACAAAUUUACGGUUACACAAAACGCGAAAAUUUUACUGAAAUUUUCAGUAAGGAAAAAAUAGAAUUUAUAACCAUUCGGUCCAAGCAAGAACUAUAAUUCGCUACUCUUUAUAUUUCUUUCUUUGUUCGAAAUGCUAAAUGUAUCUUUUACUGAAAUAUACAAUGUUCCAGAUUUCUGGAAUAAAGGAAAAAUUGAUAAGUUACAAUUGAAGAUGUUAAAUCAGCCACUUAGAUUUGCGGUUUAAACUUACAAUUAGUAUAGGUUUAUUUUAUUUUUUUUUAGUCUGGAUGAAGAAUCAAUUCGAGCUGAAUAAACAUUAAAUUUUAUUAUCGUGUAGAAUUGUGAUAAAAAUUGUAAUUCUUUUGUUUCAAAAGAGACAAAUAUCGCGACAUAUUUCUAUUGCGAUAUCUGUCUUUACUUUUCGUGCGAGAAGUCUGGCAUUUAUAUCAUGCCUGAGUCAUAUUUUACAUACAUUAAAGGGCAAACGUGAAAAAUUCAGCUUGUCUAUCACGCGUUUAGUCAUAUUGUAACUUUUAUCCGAUACGAUAUUGUGCACGGCCAGUGAUGCAAAAGUUAUUCGUAUGAGCACAUUUAAUUUUAUAUUUUAUAUAGAAUAACCGUUACUGCUAUCGUCCUUUCUACAUCCAUACUUUCUGUCAAUGGUAAUUCAUCAGAAAAAGUUGCCAUUCUUGUAUCUGCUAUAUAAAUUGUGAAUAGAACGAUAUAUUAUUUGAACGAUAAAUCGAAUUUUCAUUAGAAUAGUUUUCGUCUGAAAUUAUUUCUAAUAAUCUUCAUUUAUAAUCAGUUUAUAAUAAUUUAUAAUCAGUAAUAGUCAUUUAUCCAUAUUUUUUAAAAUAAACUUGUCUCUUACAAUAUACAGUAAUCAUUACAAAUCAAUAUUCAAUUGUACGCAGAUUAUAUUCAAUCGCGCGCGACUUGUAAUAUACGUUGAAAAUCUUUGUAAAAGGUUUAACCAUGAUGGAUACCAUUAUUCGACAGAAGCUAUUUUUUUCUUCUCUUGAGCUGGAUUCAAAUCUUUGUUGCGCCUCUUGGCGAAAAGUAGGAUGUUUUGAUGUAUGAUGUCACAAAUGAAGAAAGAGCACAUUCCCGGAGCGCCAGUGGCGAACGAGUUAGUCGACAGAGGGAGGAAGUCGCACGCUUAACCCCCUCGUCGCUCUAUAUCGCGAGCUGAGAAACGACGGCGCCGGAAACCGAAGCCGUUCGAGCGCGCCGGUUUCGAGCGCCAGCAUCGGAUUGCCGUUCGUUCAAUUUGUCUCAAUAAAUCGUCCAGCGAGCUUCAAUCGCGUCAGGUCAGCCGCGAACUGGCCACGGGAUUUUCCCUUUCCAAAGAGCAAAACCUGCUCUUUGGAAUUUUCGAAGUAAGAUACUGCUGGCGCUCGCUUCUGUAGUAACAACGCUUUAGUGUUUUGAUAUAAGACAGAAAUUAAUGUCUUCUAUUUCUCUGCUAUAUCUGUAAAGAGACAUCAUUUGACUCUUGAAGUAUUGAAGAUAUUGUUUGAUAUGCUGGAAAUUGAUUUAAAUAUGAUCAUCAGCAUAAAUUUUGAUACCGUAUCUUCUUCAUUGUUCGGAUCUUGCAAUUUACCUUUUAUUCGCCACAAUAUUUUUAUACAAUUUAUUGGGUUGUAACAUAUAUUUCUGCCGUUUGUUUAAUGUUUUUUAAUAAAUAUGUUACAACCCAAUAUAUUUUAUUCACUCUUUCUGCGUUCUCCUUGUGAUUGUACGCCGUUCCGCACGUCCCGCUCGAUUUACACUGCACGAACGACCGUCCAAACGCGUCGAACGGUCGCAUAUUGGGCAAGUCGGGAUUAAUCGGGUUAAUGUCACACGCGUUCUCAUGUGUGCACCUCGCUCAUACCGGCCACCACAUGCAUCUGCCGAUGCCGGCGGACAUUCUAGGAUAGCCUUGCAACCGGGAUGGUUGAUCGUGACCACGUGGCUGCCGAGAAAAUUUCGCAAAAUACUUCACCCCUUCGCGCAGCAAAUCAUCAUCUCCGUCUGAAUUCUUAGUUGAAUAUUAACGUCGUGCCUCUCGGUUUACCCAUUGGCUCGACAUCGAGAUUGUUCAACGUGUUGAUAAUUUCUAUAUUGAACACGGAAGUAAUGUGGCACGUCGCCAUCCGCAAUUAUCCGUAAUUGCAAUUGCGAUGGUCUGCGCUUCGCGAUAGUCUGACGCGAGUCGACGUAACGAGAAUUUAAUAAGUUAAUUAAAUUAUGCACGUUUAAGCCAACCCCAAGCGCGAGUUUAUUAAAAUUUAACAAAAUUACAUGACGAUUAUUACAUAGCCCGCACGUUUGGCGUGUUUUGGAAGCAGAGAGGUGGAAGUGCAAUGAUUUAAUACGCGGGAGAACAGUUCUAUUAAUCGCCUUAAAAAAAAACAUUUCUGCACCGCGUUAAAGAUGCGUUUGCACACCAAUGGAUAUCAAAUCAUUAAAUUCAACAUUGAAUAUAGGUAUAUUGUUAAAAAAGUAUGUUGCUCUACAACACGUCGAAUUUCGACUAUCUUUUUUCAGAAUUGAAAACUUAUUCUUUUCAUAUAUGUACAUUUGGAAAUAUACGCAAUGCUAUUUACAAAAAAAUCAUAUCUCUACACGUCAAUACUGCUUAUUCAAUUUUAAUGCAGUAUCUCGAUGAUAACAUUUAGUCGCGACACUGAUAUUCCAUUAUUUAGGCCGCUUUCUAAAAGCACCAUUCUAUAUGGAAAAGUUAGCGUAGUGAAAACCGGUCUAAUCGAUGCAGUGCAAGAAUACCCUCGUUCUCCCUAAAUUGCCCUAAAUCCCGCGGAGGUUUUUGGAUCGAUACGUUUGUGCUAACGCGCGCAGAGCAUAUCUCCCCGGUUUAAUUCGCGAAAAACUCCUGCCCGCGAUAAAAUCGUGUAAAACUCUCGUUGGCCGGCGGGCCGGGACCUUCAAAUUGAUAUCGCCGAGAAUACGCGGUGCGCGCACCCGCUUGCUCGUUCGCUCAGGAUCGAAAAUAUGAUACCAGUGGAGUAUCAGUUCGCGAUAAAUCAAUAUAGAGAGAUACGGAACACCACGGCGCGCCGGGACACGGGAAGGGAACGGUGCUGGGAGGAGGGUGGCGGGAGGGGGAGGCUUUAUCUGAUAUAUUUGUCACAGUCGCACCCGCAAAUAUCCGGCAGGCUGCCAUUAUUUUGCAUUCUAUCGGCGCCCGGAGGCGCGGCGAAAUAAACGCGCAUACAUUUUCUAUCGGACUCGUACCCUUCCUCUCUUCACCCUCAUCGGUCCUCUAUCGAGAGGUAUGGUCGAGCGCGUUUUCGGCACGCAGCCGGAAGGUCGGGGGACGACGAAUGAUCGAGAAAUCGAGAAAUUUCUACGCAUGCAUAACAUGACACGCGCGUGUGUGUAUGUGCGAUCGUCGAGCGCAAUUAAAAUCGUGGAUACGAGCGAUUGUUUUUAGCAAUUGUUACAAGUUAUCCUAAAACGAGUGAAUCAGGUUCGGACGCAUUAGAUUCUUUUUUCCUCGAGUUUCUUAUCUUUUUCUUCCACCCCCGGAGGAGUUUAAUCGCAAGCUGGAAGCACGGAGGUGUACUCGGAUGCUUGAGCUCGGAUCACUGUGAAAUAUCACGGCCUUUAGCAUAUGCCCCCGUUUGCUUCCCGUUGACGUCUAGCCAGGACGGAGGAUCACAAAUGCGCCUUUUGAAAGGGAAUCUCGUGUUCAACAAGUUCAACGGAUGCGAGAGACAAUCGAGACGCGUCGCGAGAGCACUGACGACAUAGGGAUGCUCGCACGCGCCCUUUGCGCCGCUAUUAUUAUAUCCUUUUGUUAAAUACCUCGAAGACUGCAAUGAAAAAAGACGGAUCCUGCACAGUAGGCUACUAUUAUCAUUACUUCUCUUCUCGAAAGUUAUUUUAAAUUUAAUAAUGAUAAAUUGAUAAUAAUAAUGCUAUCGCGAUUUCUGUUGUUUACAUCUUAAAAUGAUAAAGAAAUGAUUCAUAAUAUUUUAGAUGUAUUUUUAGCUUAAAAAAGAAGAUAGAAGAUUUGCGCGAAUUUUUAGUAGCAAGCUUCACGGCUAAUUUAGCUGCGAGACACUUAAAUUCAGCCAACCGUGUAAUUACCGUUAUCUCCGAGACGUUGUGUAAUCUGAGGUCGUCCAUUAUCGCCGAUUUUGUUUCACGCCCUUAAAUCACUCUUAUCGUUGUUUCCAUCGGCUGGGAGAGAUCGGUUCAAUAAUUCGCCGUUGCUACGGAUUGUUAUUAAGUAAACAUAUAAGCAGAGAAAUCUCUCCCUUCGCUGAGAAAAAUGCCACGGUGUCUCCUUUUUUCUUCUUUACUGUAAGUGAUAUCGGAAGAUGACGAAAGUUGCAUUUUCUGAGAAAAGAAAGAGGAGAAAAAGGAAUACCGCAGCACACUUGCAUUCUACUCGGGAUAUAAAAUUACGCCGGUGAGACCAACGUCCGAAACGUCGACGCGGUGUCGCGACGCCGAGACUUAUACUGUGCUGGGCCGAAUGAGGUGGCAGGUUGACAACUUUACUUACAUUCCACUAAUGACAUCAUUAAAAUAAUAAACGACGUCAUUUAGAAAGUAGAAUGCGCCGACUGAAGCACGGUCGACCCCCCCUCGGCGCAUCCUUAACCCCCAGAAUUAAAAAAGCUCUCGCACGUUCGCGGCUGCAUUCCGCUUGCGUCACCAUCGAUGCUUCGAUUAUUGGUGUUCGAUACUCGUACGCUUGAUAUAGUGAACAUAAAGAUGCCGAAAAUCGAAACGUGAGUGCUUCUGGAUUGCGACUGCCAAAAUCAGCGUGAGCAAGUGUGUGCAACUAAUUUCCUCUUUGCUCUCCAUGCGGUAAUUUUAGCGACAUAUUGUUCAUGCACACACAACAGAAAGUACUUUUCAUUAAUGAGAACGUCGAGAUAUUGACAGUUUAGACAAUUUCUGAGCCGGCGAGCUGAUAAGUGAUUAACUGAGAUAAUUCAUGAUUUUGUUCCAACCUAAUUUGACUUUGCCUUGAUUAUUUUGAUACUUAUCAAAAAUACAGCAGAGAGGAUCUAAAUAGAGGAAUCCCUUAAUGCAAUUAGGCGAAAGUGCAACGGUAAAAGGGCGGACUCUGAGGUAUAUUUUCAAGACUCGUUGAUGACGCGAUCUCUCGAUUAAAAUUUCCGAGCGAAUAACCGUGAUGUCCCGUUUCGUCGCGCUACCCCGUUCGACUGUUCCCUCGUGCGACUCGUUUCCUCGGCGAGAAACGAAAAGAAACCCGAUAUCGCGCGCUAAAUAAAGUACCGCAAACCAUAUAUAUGCGCACCCCGCGAGGAUCGAGACCUAAUCGGCGGAUAUCAGCUCGAUUUCGGUUCCCUUUGUGCGUACGUCUCGCACGCUUGACGGCGUGCCAAGAAACCGGCUCGGGGUGUAGUAAAAGUAACUUUCCGAUUCGAUAUUACCAUAAGUGCAGCGGGGCGAGCGGUGCUAUAUAAGUUUCCGGAACUUGGCUUUACGUUCCUUCCGCGUAUCAUGCGUGUCGGCACGACCAGUUGGAUAUUUUGCAUGCUUCUGCGAAAAUCGCCGCCGCGGGGCUCUUAUAGUCCCGAGAGAGAAAUGGAGAGAGAGAAAGAGAAAAAGAGAGGACUAAAGAGGCAGAGGGUGCAUUAUAUACGUGCAAUCGAGCCCUCGACACGCGCACGCGAACCGGAUGUUUCGUAAGGACGACGCGACGAGCGUAGCUCGUGCAUAACGCGUGUCACAGAAGCGGCAUGAUCCAUCGUCCGCAAGAGGCUAAUUUGAAUUGUAAUUGUAUCUCGCCCCGCUGCCUUCCUCCCUCGGUCUCUCUCGCGAAAACGAUUAUUCGAAAUGGUUUGCUGUUUCGAAAUUUGAAAUUCGGCGAUCGCACGGCGAUUCGAAAUUGGUUUUAACUUCUCGUACGUCGCUCAACUUUCGCGUUGUCCGAUAAUAUCCGCAGUCGUACGUGGAGGUUUCCCGCGGAUGUUUGCGUGAAACGUUCAUUCGAUUCAGGCGCAGCAUCCAGGACGAUCGAUCGCGCACGCGCAUCGCGCGACUGCCGUCGCGAAUCCCGAAUCUCGAUACUGCGCGCGGGAAUACUCUCCCGUAGCGCGUAACACGUAGAACGAGUGGUAUUUUGCAAAUAUAGGUGCGACCUACUGGAUCGAAUAAAUCAUUCAGCGUGACCCGAAUUCUAGCUGACGUAAAUCGAAUGCUUGACAGAAGGGAAAGAGAGAGUAUUCGCUCUCGUCCGCCCGUCCGCGAUCGUACGCGUGAACGUACGCGGGCUCACGCGCAGUUUAAUUACGCGAAUGUAAUUUAAUUUCACGUGAAUCCAGCCUGCGAGUAUUCAUUCGCGAGUAAAACCUUCGCGUCGAGCGACGAACGAUCCCUCGAACUUUUAUUUCACAGCUCCCUUUUCCCCCGAUUUUUUUUAGUGCACAAUGUUCGCCACGAGGGAAACGGAAAUGAUUGCGACGAUGUGACUUUGUAGCUGGAAUUGAUUAUGGUAGCACUUUUCGUUAUGAAAAUGCAGAUUAAUACUACGUGCUAUGUAGAGAGGACAUUUAGAUGCGAACAUCAAUAUGUGUGCUGCAUUAAUUACGUGAAUCAAUUGACGAUCCUUCAGGCCAUAAAUAACACAUGAGCUUGUGAAUCACGUAAUACUCCAUUGCUCCAGAUAAUUUAAUUUAAAUAAUUCAGCGAGUAUCAAAUAGCGUAUCAGCCAUUGGUUUUUCAGGUAGGAUUUUUAUAAUCGUCGCGUUUCAGUAUCAAAUAAUCUUCCCGAGAGAGUGAGGCAGCGGUAUAACAUACGUGUAUUUAAAUCCGGAUCUCAAUGAAACAUACGUUUCCUUAUUUAGAUACAAUUUUGACUGCAUGUCGUUUAAAUAAAUUAGCUUUUGGAAGGCAAACGAGCGAGACUUAAAUGAUCGUCCCCGCGUUCGUUCUCAAAGGGCGCUGAUUGGAUUUGACGCAAAUAAAUGAUCGCACAGUGUAUAUACUCCAAUAACAAGAGAGACCUCUUGAGAUUCCAGGCGGAUGGAUGUACAGCCUUCUGAAGUCGUAAUUUCUUUACUUCCCCUUCGUUCUGGGGAAUAUUUGCUACGCUUAGGAUUCUCUGGAUUACUACGUGGAAACGUCGGCGAGACGCGAAAAGCAAACAAUGUCCGUAUUAUAAUAUUAUACACCCGACGAAUACGAAUAUUAUUGCGAGCAUUCUUCUCUCUUCUGGUUUUCCGAUUCGCGUAAAUUACAUCCGAUUUAAAAUCCUUGCAUAUUUUAUCUCGUGAACUCUGAACUCUCCUGUUACUGUUAGCACGCAUGCCGUCUCUCGCAUUACUCGUUUGCAUUAUUUUACCCCACGAUAAAACUGCAAUAAACAGUCAUCUAUUCACUUACCCUCGGCUUGCUUAUCCGCCGUACUAUCUAUCUCGCGGCUAGCUCUCGUCGAGCGUGUAAAUAUUGAAACACCGUUCCGGGAACGAAAUGCAGUACCCUACAAAAUCCGCGACUUUGCACAAUUUCUGCGAAGAACAAUGUAAAAGACCGCGCGACUCUCUUCGCAGAAGGCGAUUACAUCGUUAACAGCUGACAGUACAUCGCGAACAAAGGAUUGAUUCCUGAACUGUUAUUACGCCGGAAUGAACUCAGCACCUUGUUAAUUGCCAAUCUUUGCAAAACGUCUAUAAUUCCGUCAAAUCGAUUGGAAUCGCGGAGGCUCUACGAGAUUGGAGUGUCAGAGCCUUUAUCCUCGGGGGAAAGUUUGUUGCUGUGACACGAUCGCGCCAGAUCGCCGUCUAGAUAGAACAAUCGGCGUCGACGAGCUCAAAGGAAGACGAAGAAAAGGAUGAACAAGUGGCGGAAGGGCAGGCGAUGAUCGCGAAAUGCGCCGGGAGGUCCUAGCCGGUCUUUGAUUUGAAUGGAUCGAGCAAUGAGCGGCGGCGAGCGUUAUAACACGUUAAUGAAUAGCCGCUCUAUCUUGGAGCAUCCACUAAUGCAAAAUCAAUAUUUAAUUAUCCAUCGCAGUUUGCCUCGCAGAACCCUUGCGUUUCGGUCAGUCCCUUAUUUGACGUUCGAAUCUAGAUUAGCAGAGAGACAUUGCGAAAAUAGCGCGACCCACGGCUGUCGAUAUUGGAUAUUCGUUAUUUACUGUAACCCAUAAUUCGACUGCGCAGCGCUCCGGUAUUAGCCUCGUCAAAAUUGUGCAGUGCCUGAAUAAAUAUCUGCUUCCUCCUCGAAAUUGCGUACCUGCGGUACGUAUGUGUAUAGGAUAUUCUCCUAUAAGUAAGAUUCUUAAAUACGGUUUUUCUUGAGCAUAACUGAGAUAGGAAAUUUGCCAUUUUGAUUUGCUUUUUUUUGUUACCUUCAUAUCCAUUUUCUUUUUUUUCUAAUCAAUGCAAACAUUAAUUUAAUUUAUGAUACGAUGCUUCUAAUACCGUGAUUGCAUCUCAUUUUUACUGUAAUUACGUAUUCCUCGUCCGUUGAUUAACGCGCGCAAGCGCAUGCACCAUGACAUUAACGUGAUUCCGAGCAAGAUACGAAAUAGCGUGACGAUUAUAGCCGUCAGGGUCGCGAGACGUGUUAAUACGACAUUAACCGGCAAUCAUCCCGCGCUUGGCGUUCUACGAUUAAACAUGCAAUUAUCGGAAUUAUUUAUUAUGCGCGAAUCGGGACUCGCGCCGAGUGUCUAACUGCAUGCAUAUACAGGAGAGACUCGUUCCACCGGGGGUGAAUUAUCCCCGCGCGGUUACGCGAUUAAUCGCGCGGCAAGCGAUAGUCUGCGUUCCGUACGGGACGUCCUGGUAUAACUCGGCAGUAUCGCCAAACCAGCAUCCAUUAAUUCCGCCUUAUUAUCUUCUUCCGACGCCCCGCUGGUGACGUCGUUUCCUUAACGCUUUUCCUUCUACUAUUCUUCGAGAAACGCUCGUAGAACGAGUGGUGUGUAUUUGUUACGAGAGCAAAUCACCGGAUCUAUUACUUUUCUCACAGUCGCGCGCAAUAAACCACCCUCAUUUUGAGAUAGCGUACCUCUUUAAGGGAAUCAUCGAGUAUCUGCAGUUUGUCACUCACACAUUCUCUCUCUCUCUCUCUCACUCUCACUUUCUGUCUCUCUCUCGGUCGCUCACCUUCCCUCCAUCUUGCCUUUGUACGCCUCUCUUCAUCCGCGUGUACCGUGUCAUGUGGCAUUAUAUUAUCCGAGAUGCAUUCUGGGGUGCGUCCGGGCCGAACCAUUGCAUCGCAGCUGCAUGAGGUGGCGGGGGUCGGAUUAAACUUUCCUCUCGCAACAAUGCAGCGUAGUCGCACCGGAACGUGAUCGUGCUCACGUUCGUGUUCGCAUUCUUGUCCGGCAUUACACACGUGCCUGCACGUGCAGAUAUAGCACAAGUAGCUGCAUCUCGCGGUUUUCAAUUUUUCGGACGUCCCGUACGGACCCGCGACGCGAUUUGGGUUCACGUCGAUUCAAAAACGCCGAUCUCCCCGUGACCGUCGAGGAGAGUGGUCAGAAAUGCAUCACGACGCGUCGAGAUUUCAAUUAAACUGAGGGACAACGUUCCUUUUCUGCACUUUCGCGAAAAAUUCUGGAAUAUUGAAUAAUUAACGUAAAACGUCCCGCAACUCAUUAAGUAUUCAUCAGCCGAAAAAGUCGAGGACUCAUCGCAUCGUGUGCGAUGCAGCUCACAGCCCGGCAGAUCGAAAUACAACCCCUGUCGUCGACGACCCUCGAUCGCCCGGCCGAUCGAAAAGUGCAUGCACUUCGGAGCAUUCGAUCGGCUACACAGGUGGGUGUGGUGGCGUUGGCCGUGCACGCGUGUGCGACACGUUCUUAAGCGACCCUCUCGGGCCGCCCUUUCUUUCCGGGUCACGCGUUACCGCGCCGAGGGAGGUUUCAUAAUUGAGGACUAAUUGUCACCCUGCCUGUCGGGGUUCGAACGAGGAGAAGAGUGUUGAGUAUAAAAGGAAGCGGUAAGAGAAAAGGGGGGCGAGUAGAGAAGACCGAGAGGGAGGAAAGGAAAGAGCGAAAGAGAGAAAGGGAAAAAAAGAGAAAAAUGGAUACUCGAGAAUACGGAGAUAGUGGGAGGCACGCACGCACGAUUAUGUACCCCGUACCAUGUACAUAUGUACAGGGGAUACCGUUAAGGUCCGUAAACGCGGUUUUCUUUGAAGGGAACCGACCCGGAGAAAAUAUAUUGCUGGAUCUGCCUUCUCGAUUUAGUUCCUUUUUCUUCUCACCAUUAUUAUAUCUAUAUGUUUGUAGCUUCCUUGAUAUCCGAAAGAUCCCUGUUUACUUGACAAUGAUUGACAUGAAAGUGCAUAAUAGUUCUCGCAAUCUUUUUUUCUGAAAUUCCUCGGAUUUAAGCACGACGGUGUCUAAAUAAAUAACAAACUUUCUGGAAAUUAUUGCUGGCAGGAAGUAUACUAUAAGCCAGAUAUGCCAAAAAAAGAAUCUUGGAGAUUUCAGAGCAUAUACUAUGUUUAAUUAACGCGUCAGCGAUCGCGCGAUCAUCGAGUCGAAGUAAAAAAUAAUAGCCGGUGAGAGAUCGCUGGCGGAAAAUUCACCCUCUCUGUCUGUCCCUCGGCUGAAAUCCCUUUUUCUCGUCGGGGAGAAUGGCACCCGCGGAUUAAAACGGGACAUCGUCCCGACAGGCGGAAAAACGGGACGGGACGGGUGCGGAAGGGGUUGCCCCGACGAUGUCGGAGUAACGUCGGACGGAAGGGAGAAGGUCCCUUUGAUUUUCAGACGGGCCGCAAUUAUCCCCCUCGCGCGCCGGCCUCCACAUGCCGGAACUGAAGCAGGUGGAUCGUUACGAUGCCUCUCUCUUCCGUCUCUCCUUUAUUUUCCAUUCCAUUUCUCGCGCCUGUGGCUUUCCGUUGGAACCGUAUGAAAAGAUCCGCGAAAAAACCACCGAGGAAAUAUCUGUUGGCGAUGAACAAGGGAUUGGAGGGAGGCGAAUGAAUAUCGAUCCCGGUGAUCGUCGUCGGUGUGUCGGAUUCAAUGAGAAACGUUGACUCCGUUUGUCCUUCCGGCGAUGUCGAUUUAGAGUCAUCGAAAGGCGUCGAUUGUCGAAGGUGAUGAAGACUGCGGCUUUGGGGUCAAUUAUCGCUAGAUAUUCGGAGGUUCAUUUCAUUUCUCUCGAUUCCACUUCCGCUACGCGAGUCUAAUUUACGGAUGAAUAACGAGAUUUUUCUCGCGAGAUUUUUCUCCAUUUUUCAGCUCGUAAUAAUCAGACAAUUAGCUGGCUGACUUACUUGGCAUUUCACGCAUCGAUAAAUAUCGUCGUUGUUUUUCUUCAAAAAUAAUCAAAUAGACAGAAAUAAAUUUACGAAGGCAGACUGACGGGAUUGUAAGGGUAUAAAUUAGAUCGAUGCACACGGGGGCAGGGGAAUUAAUGAUCACGUUGCUGUGCAAUUAUCGCGCAUUUACGGAAGAGAUUUUAUGUGAAAGGGCCGCUUGCACGCACGCGCACGCAAGCGCGAUGAUGUACAAUGUGAUUUGGAUAAAAUCGUUAGCGAUAAUUUAAUAUUAGCGAUAGCAAUCGGUUCAAUUGAUACGAGAAGAAUAAACCUCACGUGUUGCCCCGAAUUCUCUCUCCGCGAAAUCGCGCUCGUAAAUCAUGCGAGCGUGGCGUCCCGGAGAAAUUGUGCGCACGCAGUUUAAUUUAUUACAUUAUUCGAUAGGUAAUUGCCGUUGCGACUUUUACAGACAUUUUUUUAUCCCCUUCCUCUCUUCUUCCCAUGUCACCCUUGUACUCUCCGUCAUCGGUCAGUUUCCAUAGCGCGCCUACGUGUUAUUCGAUCGCGGUAUAUUUAAAUAAAUUACGCUCUCGAGUUAUUUCAUUAAUGUCGCCGCUGCUGUCGUCAUAUUGUCGCGGUAAUAUAUCAUAAUGAAACACAUCGUUUAUUCAUACCGAAUAGCGCAUAAUGUUAUAAUCAGCACGAAUAUACGUAUUAAUUAUGGAUUAUGAUUAUGUCGCUUUAUAUGGACUAGUUAUGACUAAUUACGAUAAUGAUUUGAUUGAUCUGACAUAAAACUAGAUCUAUCCAUGUCGGAUGUAUGCUAUAACCGGACCGUUUAAGAGGCAUGAAGAGGUAAAUUACAGAGGUAAAAUCCGUAGCGUCGUCGCGAAAACAAAAGAAAAAAGGAUUAUAAACAUUUCUGCCCAUACGCGUGCCCAUUCGCGUGCGGAUUACAUUAUACAUGCAUGAAUGCAAAAAUAAUCGCCACUGGAGCGGUAAAUUAUCAAUUCGUCAGUGGACGGCACGGCCGGCGGACGUAAUUAUUACGAUUUACUUCUGUCAUAUGUUUAUUCAUGAUUGCAUAGUAAAAAUCUGAUAAACUUUUGUUCGGUGCCCGAUACGCGCCGUUCAAUUAGCCGGACGGAUCCGCGCGUGCCGCUAAUUACGCACCCUGAUGAGGGUGCCCGCCGCCACGAACGAUGUAAACAACGACAAUUACGACGCACGGAUUGACCGGAAGUCGCGGGCGUGUUCGACAUUUAGCGCGGACAACCGCGCGCAUCCAGCCGGCCGUGUCGGCUUUGGUAACCAUCAAUCGAUCUCGCGCCAGCAGUAUAUAACCGAGAUAUUUGGCGGAUUCAGUUUUACAUUAGUAUAUGAAUCAGCGGCGUUACGUAACAGACGUAAGAUAAACGCGCGCGUGCGCGACCGCGCACUGAAAAGUGAUCAACAAAGUGAUCAACAGCAAAGAUCAACGUGAAUUAAAUAGGAGCAUCGCUUCGAGGUGCAAGAAACAGUCAGAAUUGAAAAUUCGAGAUCCAAGCAUCUCGACAAUUUUAGCUUCGAGGAUCUUCGAUUCCGAAGGAUCCUGGUUUCCCUGACAUCUGCAUGACACCACGUGGAAGCUUCGAGACAGUGAUGGAUCUCGUAAUGCGGAUUAUCCGGCCGACGCGAGAUUUUCAAGCCCAUUCUGGCAGCGGAUGUGAGAAAGUUGAUGCGGAGGCUGUGACGAGAGGGUGCGUUGGCCGUUUUCCAUGCGGGAAUUCCAUCAAGUGCGCGCCGCGGCGUCGCGAAAUUGUUGUUAUUUCACCAUAAUUUUACAAGGAUCUGCGUUCUGAUCCACAUUUUCCCUAUUUGUCAACGGCAGGUUUUCCCAUUUGUUAUGGCGAGACUUCGCAAUCACGCGUGAUGUUCGUAAGAGAUCGAACGUCGUUUGCUGGAAUCUAAAUCGGGAGCGCAUCGCAAUUUCUCUUCCAUCGUUUUCUUUGUCAAAUUUUCCUUACACGUUGUGAAAUCAAACUAAAGAAUUUCCAUCAAAUUCAUUUGAUUGCAAACAUUAAUUAAUAUCUUAAAUCUUUUUAAAUGUUAUUACCGAUGAUAAAAAAUAUUAUAAUGUAUAAUGAUUUUUACACGUAUGGAUGAUAGAAUCUGCAAAACUAUUUACUACGAACCGUUUACGGCUCCUCGAAAAUUCGCUUUUCAGCAGGAAAUACGUUUUCAAUCACAAGAUACUUGCAAGUUAUAGCAUGACAGCGCCGAAGAAAGAAGCUGAUCGACAAGCAACAUCGAUACCGAAUGCAUAAUUUAUAAAAAACAAGAGAAAAGAAUAGUCGCGCAUCUUGAAUUUCCGUUGCUUCCCGAUUGUACAAUCUUGAUCGACAUUCCGUCUCUGUUACGUUUCUUGAGGAAUAUUUGUAUCUACCUUCUGAACAAAUUGAUUUGCAAAAUAAAGCUGCAUGCAAAUGUGGUGGUAUGCUUUAAAAUGGUACAGCGCCAUUAUUUGAACAAUUUGGCAUCGCCAUUUAUAUAAACGAGAUACAAAUAACAAUUUAUGAAUACAUUAAUUGUUGGUAUAGUAAUUAUUUGUUAUGUACAAUGUACAAGCAUUAUUAGCAAAAUAAUUGAAUGUUAUUAUUUAUUUGUAUAAUUAUUUAAUUAGUUUGGAGAAUAUUUCGGAAUCUCAUGUGUGAAUAUUGGAAGAUUAUUCAAAUAAAAUUAUGUAUAAAUCUUGUAGAUAGAAUUGUUUAAAUUUUACUGCUAAUAAAUCCUUCAAAGCAUGUUUUAUUACAUAGAAUCCUCGAAAUAACAUCACUGAAUUUUCCGUUUUUAAAAUCAACAUUCUUUUUCACAGUACCUACUUAUACUUCUGUACUCUUCUACUUCACAACCUAUAUGUCAUUAUCACAAAGUAAACUCAAUGAGAUAAGCUGGAUAUGGACCGGAUUAUGUUAACAUGUUAAUACUCUCUCUUCGGCGGGUACAUGAGACGUGCUAUUUACGAAAGGGAGAGAAUUUGGAAUAAAAAAUAAGCGUGUUCUAUGAAUUUUAAUAUUUUCAUUUUUUAUUUAAAUUGCCUGCCUUUACAAUGGAAACAUCGCUUUGAUCGGCACGCGCGCGCUUCUUUGGCUUUCAGUCCGUCAAAUAAAUUCCUUUGCCGCUUGAAGUAGAAUAAAUCGAUCCGUAUCGAAAGCCGACGUGCCGCGUACGUAGAUUUGUGCCAGUUCUUAACAGUUUUAUUUACAGAUCUAGGAUCAACCUGUGUCCUUAAAGAACUCAACUCAAAAUUAUACGUAUAUAUCUAUACGUAUAAACAUAUUUUUCAUUAAACCAAAAAUUGCAAGUUUAUGCAGAAAGAAAGAUGAGAGAGGUUUCUUAUGACAUAACACGUCGAUAGGUUCAAGAGAGUAUAAUAUUCGUAUUGAAUUUUUUUCGUUCGAAAGUCGUUUCUAAUUCUCUCUCUCUUUCUCUCUCCCUCUAUGUGCUGCUCUGUCGACAUGAAAUUACGCAAGGACAUCCGUCCGAUGAGCUCUCUAGCCGUUCUAUAAAUAUCAGAAAAGACGUACUACUCGAAUUUGAAUAUUUCCCUUUUAUUGAAUCCCUUUAUAAUGGAAAGCUUUUGCUCGGCGCUCUUUGAAUUUCAAUUCUUCGCUAUGUCUCCGGCCCGCGCUCGACGUAGAAUAAACCGAUCUGUAACGAGCGUCGCGGAUAGGACGGAUACUCGCAUAUUUGCCUUUCAAUACGAUUAUACGUGUACUUCGCGCUCGAGUGGCCCGACCAUACCCAAUAUAAGCUACGCGCUUCCACGGAUAAAGCAUCGAAGAAAGUUAUUCGAUUCCUACAGUGAUGUCUUCCAAGUGACCGACUCGAUUUCGCCGUGCCCAACCCUCCGUAGCCGGAGAUCCUCGUGAUGCCUCUCGGUCUCUACGAAAGUUCAUUCAAAGCUUCUACUUUUUGUCGUUUUUCUCACUAUCUAUUAUAUCUAUCUACUUUUAUCGAAGUGCCGGCAUUCAUGUAUGUUCUGUGACUGUGGAAAGACACCCUGCACAUGCACAGACCCGCACAUGGGGACGAUCGAUCCCCUUACAUACUUUAUGAACUGUACGUGGUAAAAUUCAAACAGGCGACAUCGUUAGACGGAUUUAGAGCCCGCUAUGGCUAACUGGAAGGCUCCUUCUCUUUCCCAUGAUUCAAGCUACUCGCGAUGACGGAGAACUGCCACACGGACCAUAUUUCGUAGCUUGAUUAAAAAUUCACGAAGGAUAACAGACGAACGGUUACAUAAGGGAGCCACGUUAGCGCUCGUUUUACUCUGCACUUCCGCGUUGAAUGUGGGAUUGCGAGUUAAUUUUGUAACGUCAAUUUUGGAUUUAUCUCAUGCUUUGCAUUGACUUGGGUUGCGUGUUCUUAGAGUGUUCUCAAACUAGAGCUAUAUAAGGCAAACGUUUAAGAGUACAGCACGCGCGUUUUAUAAAUUAUACUUUAAAUGCACGAAUACACACGGUAAAAAAGCAAGAGAAGAAAGAAGACGAGAGAAACCCUCGUGAGAAACGGUAUCUCCGGGGGAUAUUUACGGCUGACGACAUCCUCGAGGAUACGGCAAUCGGGGUAAACAGCGGCGGAAUCGAUGAGUCGUGGCUUUUCCCUCCUUCGAAAUCCCAGGACGAAGUUUCUCGCUUGUGGCGGCGAUCCGUCGCGCAAAUAAUCGUAUCUUGUGUGUCGCGGGGAAAAUGGAACUCUGUCAUAUCGCUAGAGUAGAAAAGUUUUCUUUUUCUCCACGUUUUAUAAGUUAAAAUAAUUUAACUAUGGGAUAAAGGGAAGCGUGCGUGAUAAUUUAUCCUGAAAAAUAGCUACUGUUCUAUGACAUAAUGUCGAGUCGCGUAAUGUCUGGUAGUAAUCGACUGCUUAGUUAUCAUUUCAGGUGUUAUCUCGUUUAAAAAUGUCAAGGAACUAGGAAUGCAAGACUAGAAUAGAAAAAGACUGGAAUAGACGUGGGAACAAGCGACGGAAUUAAAGUUCCAAAUUAAGAUACAGCGAUUUCACGGAUCCUUAGCCGAGCGUUGACAAAAUAGCGUAACGCAAUCAAAUCUGUAAUGGCGAUUUGCUGUGGGAAAAACGAAUUGUACUUCCGGGGUCAGGGGGAAGGACCCGGCGUGUGACACGUUAUUAAAUUAUGAAACACCGUAUCGCGCGAGCGCCGUACCCCGCACUCGCUCGUGGGAUCGGAAGGUUACCGGCAAUUUACUUUGCUAAUUGCAAAAGUUCGAGUAGAGCCAGGUGCCGCCUUCCCGCUCCCGUUUCUCGAGCCGUCGUCGUCGAUUCUAAGUGUCGUCCACUUCGCGCGGGCGCGUUCCCAUCCCGCUCGCCUUCGCGGCAUAACUCGCGCGUACCGUUCAUUAAUGGCAUCUCUAAUGGCGUCGCGCAAUUAGCAUCGCCCAACGACUCCACCUACUGAGGAAUUCCUCCCCGCACAUUCUGAAUUUCCGAAAUUCGCGCGUGCUGAACUCCUAAAAAAAAA
rnacentral:lncRNA from 1 species